CUCCAUCUCUUGACCUCAUGAUCUGCCUGCCUUGGCCUCCCAGAGUGCUGGAUUACAGGCAUGAGCCACCACACUUGACCAGUAAUGUUGUUUUUAACUUACCUCAUAAAAUAUGGUCUUGGAUUUCAGGACAGUCCUUGGUAUGAAGGGACAUUUUUCCAUUUGUGUUCAUUUCCUUUGAGGGGUUCUCAACACUUGGAAUGCAUAGGCUUAGUCCUGCUGUAUACUUUCUACACAAAUCCUGACCAAGCCUGUGAGUGUGGGCAAAUACUUAUUCAGCCCAAUAGGUAGACUUUGGCAUUGACCUGACACUCAGAGUGCCCAAAGUAGUUGCUGUUCUGUAUAUUCACCAACCACUUGUCUUCAUCCCAAACUUUACCUUAUGAUCAGAUUUCUAUUUUGUCAUUUAUGUUAAACCCCAACAAUUUUGACUCAGCUUCUUUUUGUCAUAUACUUUAUUGCAGGUGACAGGGGAAGACUCUCUUGUUCAAACCUCUAGGCACUGGGUCACAUCAAGUUCAGACAGAGCUCAUUGAAACCAUAAUGCAGGCCCCUCCUUAAGAAAUAGCUACUGAUCUACUUCUCCGAGCAACUUUGAUCUCAUGGCUUGUAAAGCCAAACUGAAUUGAAUGUGCAAGUGAUUUUCAAACCAGUUAUGGAUAUUACAUAACAGCUUCUCAUGCACAUUGUAGUGGUGGGGGUGAGGUCCUCCAGCUUGGACGGCCUGUUUAUUCUGGUCUCAUUCAUUCAUUGAUGAUUACCAUCUACGAAUUAACCUACUAUAGAGAAUUAUCAUAAUAUUUGUGUGUAUGGAGAUACAAGGACCAAGGGAGGAGUAGAAUAGCCAUGCACCCCAUGCACAUCAUAGAGAAAAAGUCCAUAGAGAUCAUUCAUCUCUUGGUACAAAGAUUAACUAGAUAUGAUAAUCUUAGAUAAGUGAGAUCUUGGAUUCCUUUCUUCAGCUGUGAAAUAGGAAUAAUAAUUCUUAUAUAAUAAUGGUAUUGUAAAGAUUUACUGACACAAUAAAUGUAAGGUAAAGGUAUGUUAUAUAUCAGAUUUGUUAUAUGUUAUAUAUCAAAAUUCUGUUAUAUAUACACAGAAUAAGUAAUUAGUACUGUUUUUCCUUUACCUCCUUUUGUAGGAAAGAAUACCUCUUCAAGUAAGUUUUUAUUACUAAAUGCACAUUCUUUUUAAGAUUCCGUAACUACUUUAUACAUGUAUAGAUGAUUCUUGUUAUUCAUGGUAGUUGUAGUCUAUAAAGUUACCAUGAACAUGAAAUUAGCAAAUAAUGAACCAUUGCUUCUAGGGAAAACAGAAUUAGGUUUCUGUAAGCUUCUCAUCACAUUUUAAUCAACUGAUCAGUACAUACCCUUUUUAUGUGUGUUUUUAUUUAAAGACGUUCGAUUUAAUAUACAUGGUUGUUACCUAACAUUGAAUUCACCAUUUCUCAUGCCUGCAUGAAGCUUAUCUAAUCAAUAGAUUUUCUCUGAAAGGUACAUCACAGCCUUCUUGUGCUUAGAAGUACUAGACAACAUGUUAGUGGUAUAAUAAGGGGCCAUUUCAAACAAAAUCAUCAACAUAAACAAAAAAAUGCAAAACUGUGAUACUAAAGAACACUUGUUUACAGUAUGAGAGCUGAAACAAGACUGCAGAGAGUGGCCUUGUUUGAUCUCAGCUGGAAUGUACACGUUGGAACCUACAAGUUUUAUAGUACUCUGCACAUUUCUACAAAUGACUGAAAAAGCACCAUCCAUGCAUAUUGCUUUGGGUAUAUGAAUAAAUUUUAAUGAGUAGACAAAUUUGCAAAUAUGAAAUUCACAAAUAAUGGAAAUCUGUACUUUUAAAAAGAUGGAUAUGUAUUAUAUGACAGGCAAGACUUCCUUUUAGUACUGAAUGUAUGUGAAUAUUGUCAUCAGCCAAAGGCGUUUAUACCCAAUGUUCAAACUUCCACGAUGGCAUUCUUCUUUAUGGUUUUUCCCUAGCUGGACUCUGAUUUUUAGUAGAGUUAUGACUAGUGCCAGCCUCAUGGGUCUGCGAUUAGUAACGUUGCAAAUGCUGCAUGCCCUUACUUAGUUUAGUGUUCUGUUGCUAUCUUGAAAUUCUGAAUAUUUUUGGAAAGGGGCUCCACAUUUUUAGUUUGCAGUAGUCAUGCAAAUUAUUUAGUCUAUCCAGCCUAUGACAGCCCAUGAAGGCUGUUCUUAAUUUUUAAUUUCCAACAGAAAUCCAGUAGAACUAUGUAAGCCUAUGAAAUUUACAGCAUCAGGAAAAAUGAGGCUUUGAGAUCAGGAGAGUGAGGAAAUUCACAGAUAAGAGGAAGAUGGAGAAAGGAAUUCUUUAAAUCAGAUAUGAAUUACUAAGCUCACUUCUAAGCUGCAUAUAUAUGAAAUUGAUGGAAGUCAAUAUAGCAAAUUCUUUGAGAAGUAAUUUACAGCAUAGACCACUGUCUAGGUUCCAGAUUGGCUCCUGGGUGAUAUGUGUGAGAGACCAACUGGAAUAGCACUGGAAACUAAAUUGAUGUUAGACUUUGGAAACAAAAUUGAUAUUGGAAUGAUGGCCAACACAAGAUAGGUCAAGACUUGCAGCUUGAAUCUAACCAGGUUAAUUACUUGCUGAGGCAAAAAAAUUCAAUAUUCUCCAGAAGAUUUUUAAUAGUACCCAGAAUUUCAUAACACAAUAUUCGAAAUAUUGAGGACACAAUAGAAAAUUACCUAACAUAUUAAAAAAAUUUAACAAUCCUCAAAGAAAUGUUCAUGGUUCUAUUGUGUGAAUGAUUUUACUUGACUCAGAACACACAUAAUUGAAUAUUUUAGGGCUUUGAUAUCCUAAAUUCUAAAUCAUUCAAUAAUGUUUAUUGAAUGCCUAGUCGGCCAAGAAUUGCAUAUGUUUUGUUCAGAUUUAUCAUCAUUUUCCUUGUAAGUUUUUACUCUUUCAAGUUGUCAGUCUUUUUGAAGGCUGGUACAUACUUUCUUAAGCUUCUGCCUUUGCCUCAAAGAGAACAUCUGACACAGAAUGGCAAUUCUUAGUUUAUUAAGCUUGUCAGUGUUCAGUAUAUAGAAGUAUGUUGUUAAAUUCUUAGGAAGAUACCGUACAAAAAGGAGGGCCUCGAUCCUGACUGAUCAAGUGUGCUGGUUGCUUACAUCUCUUGGAGGAACAUUUCCUAAAUUACAUUUUGUGCUGCUGAAGUCAGUAUUACUUAAAUUAUUAUUUCAGCAAGGUAUUCCUUCCUGAUCCCCUUCCCUUCUCCUCAAACUCUACCAAAAUAGGUACAUACAGUUACUUGUGUAUGUUGGGCUCCUGUAGUUCCUUCAGUCUACCAGAAGCUUCUUGCCCUAAACACAGAUUAGUGUUCUCUUCUUUGCCUCGGUCACUGGUACUCUUGUACAAAGUCAAAGGUAUAAUGUUUCUGUCCUCAUUUCUUUUUCUAACCUGCAUCAUCACUUUUACAUUCUAUAUUGACAAGUCUGUUUCAUCUUCUCUCAUUUUUUUUCUUUUUGCUUCCUUCUUUGCUCUCUCUUGUUUUUCGGUUACCUAUUUGUGUUGAGUAGCUCAACUUUCAUAGUUCUUUAUAGGCAAUUAAAUCAUACCUUUUCUAUUAGAACUUGAACAGCCCACCAGGUUUAUUCAACAAAUACUGAGAGCCUAGUAUGUACCAGACACUUUUGGGGAGCUUGCAUGCAACAGUACCUGAAAUAAAGAUCUCUGUUCUCAUGAAGCUUACAAUCUUGGAGUCUUUGUGUUUUUCUCAGCUAAUUUUUCACUAGGCUCGCUAUAAGAAAGAUUUUUCUUUUUUUGUUUAUCUUUUGUUUUGUUUUGUUUCUUUUGUUUAUUCCACAGGUUCUGCUUUUCCAGUUGUUCGAGGUUACAGCAUGUAUUAAUAUGAUAGAAAAGAUGACAUUACACACUAAAUUUCUAAAAUUACUAACAAAAAGUAUGUGUUACGAUGGACCUGCUGUGGGGCUAGAAGUUGGAUGGAUGACGAAAGUCAUUGCAAAGGGUAGAUAACAUUAUAAAGAUAAGGUCCAAAGAUCCAGACUGAUGAUAAGCCCAAAGCUCAUUGAGGACAAUUACCACUGGAUUCUCCUACAGAAGGCUGCAAACACAGUUGUGGAUUUUUACUAAAGUUACAAAGGGACAUGGAUGAACCUGGAAACCAUCAUUCUCAGCAAAUGGACACA